GAAAUGCAAUAAGUAAUAUAAAUUGCAGAAUUCCGUGAAUCAUCGAAUCUUUAAACACAUAUUGCGCCCUCUGGUAUUCCGAAGAGCAUGCCUGUCCGAGCGUUAUUACUAUCUUCAAGCAAGACUUGGUUGUUGAGCCAAUUGUCCUUUAAUGAACAGACUUAAAAUGCAGUGACGAUGCUGAGUCCUGUUGCCCAAGCAUAUAAAGCUCUGUCACACGCUUUAGUGACCCAGCCGACACUUCGUCAAUUAAACCUUAAAACCUAAGAUUUAACCUCGAAUCAGAUAAGGAUACCCGCUGAACUUAA
rnacentral:misc_RNA from 1 species